AGCCUGUGAAGACAAACUCAAAUAAACUUUUCUGACACCUACUAUGAGAGCUGAAAUCCAGCUCCUGAUUCGGACUUUAUUCUGAGGCUC
rnacentral:snoRNA from 1 species